ensembl:lncRNA
GGCACAGCAUCGACUCCCUCUAAUACUAUGGAGCAGGAUGGCCACAAACUGGGCCAAAGUGUAGGACUUUCUAAGCGAUUUUAACUCAUUACAGACCAAUAUCUAAUCGAUCAGUUAAAUGACAUUAUUGUUGCUCUUGAUGAGAAGCAACGUCAUGCAUCAGUUUUUAUUGAUCCGUCGAAAGUGUUUGACACCGCUGACCGUAAUAUUUUAAAAAACUUCGACUCCUCUGUUAACAAAUUAUCUCAGUAAUAAGCCUCAAGGGGGCGCCACAGGGUUCUGUAUUAGGUCCUCUUUUGAAUUCUGCUCUCUACCAGAAAAACCUGAAGGAGAACCUUCGGCCAUCAGUUCGUGACCUCAAGCUGAAGAGCACUUGGGUUCCGCAGUAGAACAACGAUCUGCGAUCCUCCAGGUUCGUCUCCUCGGGUCGGUCGGGUUUCAUUCCUCCAGGUUCGUCUCCUCAAGUCGGCAGGGUUUCAUUCCUCCAGGUUCAUCUCCUCAAGUCGGCCAGGUUUCAUUCCUCCAGGUUCGUCUCCUCAGGUCGGCCAAGUUUCAUUCCUCCAGGUUCAUCUCCUCAAGUCGGCCAGGUUUCAUUCCUCCAGGUUCAUCCCCUCUGGUCGGUCGGGUUUCAUUCCUCCUAGUUUGUCCACUCAGGUCGGCCGGGUUUCAUUCUUCUUGGUUUGUCCACUCGGGUUGGCCUGGUUUCGUUCCUCCAGGUUCAUCUCCUCAGGUUGGCCUAGUUUCAUUCCUCCUAGUUUGUCCACUCGGGUUAGCCAAGUUUCAUUCCUCCAGGUUGGUCUCCUCAAGUCAGCAGGGUUUCAUUCCUCCAGGUUGGUCUCCUCAAGUCGGCCAAGUUUCAUUCCUCCAGGUUGGUCUCCUCAAGUCGGCAGAGUUUCAUUCCUCCUGGUUCAUUCACUCUACCAGAAAAUCCUGAAGGAGAAUGUUUGGCCAUCAGUUCGUGAUCUCAAGCUGAAGAGCACCUGGGUUCUACAGCAGAACAACGAUCCAAAACACACCAGCAAGUCGACGUCUGAAUGGCUUAAAAAAAAAAAAAGACUAAAGGAAGGUUUUGGAGUGGCCUAGUCAAAGUCUGGACUUGAAUCCAACUGAAAUGCUGUGGUAAGACCUUAAAAAGGCCGUUCAUCCUCGAAAACCCUCCAGUGUUGCUGAAUUAAAACAAUUCUGCCAAGAGGAGUGGACCAAAAUAUCUCCUGAGAGAUGUGGAAGACUCAUUGGCAGUUAUAGAAAACAUCUGAGUUCAGUUGUUGCUGCUGAGGGUGGCC